GCUAUCGUAGCUUAAUUAAAGUUUAAUACUGAAGAUAUUAGGAUGGACCCUAGAAAGUCCCGAAAGCA
rnacentral:tRNA from 10 species